UAGGGAAUUUUGCGCAAUGGGCGAAAGCCUGACGCAGCAACACCGCGUGAACGACGAAGCUUUUUGGAGUGUAAAGUUCUGUCAGUGGGGACGAAGAAUGACUGUACCCACAGAGGAAGCAUCGGCUAACUACGUGCCAGCAGCCGCGGUAAGACGUAGGAUGCGAGCGUUGUCCGGAAUUAUUGGGCGUAAAGAGUUCGUAGGCGGCCUAUCAAGUCUGGUGUUAAAGGCGGUAGCUUAACUACCGUAGGGCAUUGGAUACUGAUAAGCUAGAGUACAGAAGAGGCAAGGGGAAUUCCCAGUGUAGCGGUGAAAUGCGUAGAUAUUGGGAGGAACACCAGUGGCGUAAGCGCCUUGCUGGGCUGUUACUGACGCUGAGGAACGAAAGCCGGGGGAGCAAAUGGG
rnacentral:rRNA from 1 species